rnacentral:rRNA from 1 species
ACACCAACCAACGCCAGGGUAUUACGAGCCUCAGCUUAAAACCCAAAGGACUUGACGGUGUCCCACCCAACUAGAGGAGCCUGUUCUGUAAUCGAUAAUCCACGAUAUACCUAACCAUUUCUUGCUGAUCAGUCUGUAUACCUCCGUCGUAAGCUUACCGUGUGAACGUAUAAUAGUAGGCCCAAGGGCUUAACGCCAUAACGUCAGGUCAAGGUGCAACUUAUGAAAUGGAAGCUAUGGGCUACAAUUUCUAACCUAGAACAAACGAAAUACUACAUGAAACAUAGUCAUGAAGGCGGAUUUAGUAGUAAGUAGGAAGUAGAGAGUCCUACUAAACUUGGCCCUGGGACG